CAGCCGCCGCGGGAAUACGAAGGGGGCUAGCGUUGUUCGGAAUUACUGGGCGUAAAGGGCGCGUAGGCGGCCAUUCAAGUUAGAUGUGAAAGCCCUGGGCUCAACCUAGGAAUUGCAUUUGAUACUGUUUGGCUUGAGUUCGGGAGAGGUGAGUGGAAUUCCCAGUGUAGAGGUGAAAUUCGUAGAUAUUGGGAAGAACACCAGUGGCGAAGGCGGCUCACUGGACCGACACUGACGCUGAGGCGUGAAAGCGUGGGGAGCAAACAGGAUUAGAUACCCCAGUAGUCCCUGUCUCCUUAUA
rnacentral:rRNA from 1 species